ensembl:lncRNA OLMALINC oligodendrocyte maturation-associated long intergenic non-coding RNA
UUUUUUUUUUUUUCCCGGGGAGUCGGCCUCGGGGCUCUGCUCUCCUACCUCAGUCUGCCCUACCCUGGAAUGGGGAAAAUGCGGACAUGCCACUCAGUCCGGCCGCGAACAGUGCUCCAGAACUCAGAGAGUUUUCCAGACGGGUGGAGAUCGCGUUCCCUGCCCGCCGAGGUCCCAUCGCUUCCCUGCUGGGAAGACAAAUGAGGCGCUUUAGCCGUCUCCACGGCCAGCCCCUCCCUCAUAACCCGAGAUUCUUUGUGGGCUCUUAGUCCAUAGCUGCCUUUGAGGUGGUGUAGACCUUGCUAACCAGGACGGCCCAGUAGGCAGAGCUCAUUUUUAUUCCUGUCUGCAAUCGUGCAAAAACGCCUCUUAUGGAAAAGCCAGAGCGCCAGGAGUCAGCAAAACACACUAAAGAUUGGGCAGUCACUGGGGAGAACACUCAGCCCGCCUGCACCCAGGUGAAAUAUACAGCCUUGUUGCUCACACAAAGCCUGUUUGGUGGUUUCUUCACACGGAUGCAUGUGACAUUUGGUGCUGAAGACCCAGGACAGGAGGACUCCUUUGGGAGACCAGUGCCCUGUUGUCGCCCUCACUCCGUGAGGAGAUCCACCUAUGAUCUCAGGUCCUCAGACCAACCAGCCCAAGGAACAUCUUGCCAAUUUCAAAUCGGAUUUGUUUCUGCAGAUAAUGAAUGAUCCUUGGCUAUCUGUUUAUGUAUAACAAUGCGGCACCAAAAAGCCAGCUGGAGGCUCUGCACAUGUGGUUGUCAGAAUCUGCAGAGAAGCUUCCUCCAAUCUCCAGCCUGAGAGUUCAGGCCUGGUUACCAGCAUUCUAGAAGCUGAAAGAGGAGAAGUUCUUGGAAGACUAAGAAGUCCAACAUUCGGUAUACAAAUAUUAGUCUUUAGCCUUUGCUCUUUUUUUCUAUAAUACCGUGUAGUUUCUGUCUCCUGAAUGGACCCAGACUGAUGCUAUAACUCAGCCUUUAACUGAUUCUGGUAUUCCCCAGUCAAGAGAUCCUUGAUUUCACUCUUUCUGAUGAAUCGACCUCCAGUGUUUUACCUGGAGUCAGGAGAACUAACAAUUUCUUCAACAAUUAUUCUAUUCUUAGCCAUACCUUCCCCUUUCUCCUCCCCUUCCAAAGGUAGCUGGGGCCACCAAAUCUUGAACCUUUGUGGGUUCUUUGGUGUAAACUACUUUGCUUUUGGCUACCCCCGCUGCCUGCUGAAGCUUCAGCUUUCCAGGUUCUACUAAGACAGCUAUUACUCAUAAUCUGUUUUCCACCUUCCAAAAUUUUAUUGUGGUCUCUUCCCCAUUCUUUUGUCCUUGUGGGAUUAUACCUCUCAAAAACCCUUUACUGUUAUUUUACUAUAGUUUGGGGAGGGAGCAAAUGCAUGUGUUCAAAAUGUCUUCUUUAUCCUGAAUCUCUCUCUCAGAACCUAUUUAUCCUGCACAUAUUUACUGGGUGCCUCAUCAGGGUAGGUACUAUUCAAAUAUUUGGAUACAUUAGGGAACAGAAUAGAAUAUCCUUACACUUGUGGGGUUUACAUUCUAGUGUGUGUACGCACAACAGAGGAACAGAUUAUAAAAAUUAAAUCUAAGUAUGUAGAUUAAAAAAAAA